AUGUUCCUAAAUUCCAGCAUUCGAGUCUACAUGCAAGUUGUUACAACACCUAGUUUUCAUGUUCACCUAAAUUACCAUAACAAUAACAUUAAUAUAAAAAAUAACUUGAAUACAGUACAGCUACUCCAACUACUCCAAGUUCCUAGCCUGAAAAAUUAUGAAGAAAGGUCAAAGGACAUAAAUCUCAAUAUACUGGCCGUCGAUUGA